rnacentral:rRNA from 1 species
UACAGAGGGUGCAAGCGUUGUUCGGAAUUAUUGGGCGUAAAGAGCUCGUAGGCGGUGUGUCGCGUCGGCCGUGAAAACCUGCAGCUUAACUGUGGGCGUGCGGUCGAUACGGGCAUCACUGGAGUUCGGCAGGGGAGACUGGAAUUCCUGGUGUAGCGGUGGAAUGCGCAGAUAUCAGGAGGAACACCGGUGGCGAAGGCGGGUCUCUGGGCAACUACUGACGCUGAGGAGCGAAAGCGUGGGGAGCGAACAGG